rnacentral:rRNA from 1 species
AUACGGAGGGAGCGAGCGUUAAUCGGAAUUACUGGGCGUAAAGCGCGCGUAGGCGGCUUUGUAAGUCGGAUGUGAAAGCCCCGGGCUUAACCUGGGAAUUGCAUUCGAUACUGCAGAGCUAGAGUAUGGUAGAGGGAAGUGGAAUUUCCGGUGUAGCGGUGAAAUGCGUAGAUAUCGGAAGGAACACCAGUGGCGAAGGCGACUUCCUGGGCCAAUACUGACGCUGAGGUGCGAAAGCGUGGGGAGCAAACAGGAUUAGAAACCCCAGUAGUCC